UACGUAGGGGGCGAGCGUUGUCCGGAUUCAUUGGGCGUAAAGAGCUCGUAGGCGGCUUGGCAAGUCGGGUGUGAAAACUCGAGGCUCAACCUCGAGACGUCGGCGGAAACCAUCUGGCUAGAGUCCGGAAGAGGAGAGUGGAAUUCCUGGUGUAGCGGUGAAAUGCGCAGAUAUCAGGAAGAACACCCGUGGCGAAGGCGGCUCUCUGGGACGGUACUGACGCUGAGACGCGAAAGCGUGGGGAGCGAACAGG
rnacentral:rRNA from 1 species